UCAUGCAACAGAAGUAUAUGAUAAAUAAAUUAGAAUAAUAUAUCGCUUGGGUUCAAACCCUGUCAGCGGCAAGCCAUUGUUUACAUGCAUUGCUUAGUACCGGUUGGUUCCAGGAAUGGAUUCGAGAGUGUUUCAAUAAACUAAUAGCUUCCAUACAAAAUCGAACUAAAAUAAAUUUAAAUUUGUAUGUAAUACUUACAUAAACUUUCUGUGACUAUUAUCAGGUUUGUGCUGUAUUUCACACAAUCAGUGGGUACACCCAUAGAUGCAUGGGCCAAAAGUUAUGUGAAGCUAAUAAGAAGACAGCUACUGGUUGUUGGAAUUGUUGUACAGGAAAUUUGUGUAAUAAACAGUGUGUUUCUGUAGCUGCAUGUGCAGACACUCCCCAAUGUGCAAGUCUUCAGUCAAUCGGAUAUAACGUUUGCAAUGACCCUGCUGUGUCAGCAACAGCUUGUCCAAAAACAUGCAACAAGUGUCCUGCUAGUGGAUAGCCAUGUUAUUAUUGCCACUGUGUUCCGUGUGUCUGUUAAAAUAUUGUUGGAAAAUAUAUCAAGUUCAUACCAGAAUUAUUCAUUGCUGUUCUUUUUAAAAUCCUAACUGUUUUCCCAUAGUACAUGUAUUAACAAAUCUAAUGGAGUAUGGUGCCAUGUAAACAUUUGCAGAUAUGCCGUUUUUGGUAUGCCGCAAGUAUCAAGCAGUUUUAACUAUACUUGGAAUCUGGCAAGUUUUUGCGAAGCUGAAAUUCCGUAAACUAACAUAUGAAUGUUUAAAAUUCAAAGUAGGUACAUUACAUAAAGUCAGCUAGGAAAGGAUGAUAAAAAAUCU